GAUGAACGCUAGCGGCAGGCUUAACACAUGCAAGUCGAGGGGCAUCGCGGAAGUAGCAAUACGACUGGCGGCGACCGGCGCAAGGGUGCGUAACGCGUGAGCGACAUGCCCGUGACCUGGGGAUAACCGAUGGAAACGUCGCCUAACCCCCAAUAACACAUCGGAUCGCAUGGUUUGAUGUUGAAAACCCUGGUGGUCACGGAUUGGCUCGCGUCCCAUUAGCUAGUCGGCGGGGUAACGGCCCACCGAGGCGACGAUGGGUAGGGGUUCUGAGAGGAAGGUCCCCCACAAUGGAACUGAGACACGGUCCAUACUCCUACGGGAGGCAGCAGUGAGGAAUAUUGGUNCAUGGGCGGAAGCCUGAACCAGCCAUGCCGCGUGCGGGAAGACGGGCCUAUGGGUUGUAACCCGCUUUUGAGUGGGAGCAAUAAGGACGUCGAGCACGUCUGAUGAGAGUACCAUUCGAAUAAGCAUCGGCUAACUCCGUGCCAGCAGCCGCGGUAAUACGGAGGAUGCGAGCGUUAUCCGGAUUUAUUGGGUUUAAAGGGUGCGUAGGCUGUCCUGUAAGUCAGGGGUGAAAUACCGCCGCUCAACGGCGGGACUGCCCUUGAUACUGUGGGACUGGAGUACGGAUGCCGUUGGAGGAAUGAGUGGUGUAGCGGUGAAAUGCAUAGAUAUCACUCAGAACACCGAUUGCGAAGGCAUCUGACGAAUCCGUCACUGACGCUGAGGCACGAAAGCGUGGGGAUAGAACA
rnacentral:rRNA from 1 species